CACUGUGCUUAAAAAGGGAUUGAACAGCUGUCGUCAGGAUCCUCGAACUGUUGGCCUGAUCUUGAACUGAGUGUGGGUGGGACUUCUCCCACGACCUCUGACACCUCGACCUCUGACAACACAAAAUUCCCUAGAGUGAUUUAUCUCACAAAUAGCAAAGUAGAGAGAAAGGCAAUGAAAAUUACUGACUUCGGUAUUUGUCUAGAUUUCUGACUCUACGAUGGGUAAAAGCAGUGUGGAUUUGUCCAGUCAGCCACGGUUCGUGAAGCGCAGGGGCCUGGCCAGCAGUCCGGGAACGUCUACCACCCCACGCCCAGGACGUCAUCCCCCACCUGGACCCACGCUGCCCCUUCCUGCCCUUGCGAGAGUCAAAACUCCUGGGGCAAGUCCGACGAUCUCCCGUCCAGCAAGUAUCAUUUCCUGCAAGCACAAGGAUGACAAUGACGAGUAUAAACCACCGCUGAGCCAGACGGCACAGAUGGACGAGCAGGCGCACUGCAGGGCUGCGCGGGCGUCGGCACAGCGUGGAGAGCAGUGUGAGCACCAGGACCCCGAGCUCAGACUUGCAAGUGGAAGGACAGUCGGCCCUAAAAUUCAUUACUUCGAACCAUGCCACUGCCUGUGA
rnacentral:lncRNA from 1 species